CCUACGGGAGUCAGCAGUGAGGAAUAUUGGUCAAUGGGCGGGAGCCUGAACCAGCCAAGUCGCGUGAGGGAAGACGGUCCUAUGGAUUGUAAACCUCGUUAGGCGGGGAGCAAUGCCGGGCACGCGUGCCCGGAGGGAGAGUACCCGCAGAAUAAGCAACGGCUAACUCCGUGCCAGCAGCCGCGGUAAUACGGAGGAGGCGAGCGUUAUACGGAUUUAUUGGGUUUAAAGGGUGCGUAGGCGGAUUUUUAAGUCAGCGGUAAAAUGUCCGGGCUCACCCCGGUCCGGCCGUGGAAAAUGGGGAUCUUGAGUGGGCGAGAAGUAUGCGGAAUGCGUG
rnacentral:rRNA from 1 species